rnacentral:siRNA from 1 species
AUAUACUAUUACUUAAUAAUAGUU